CAGUCCUGCGUGAAGAUUAAAGUUACAUCUUACAUGCCCGAUGUUGAGAAGCUGUCCAGUGAUGUCCGAAAACAGAAGUCACAUUAAACGGGUCCGAGGAUGGCUGCAUUGUAUUGUGCGUGUCAAAAGAGAAGAGGGUGCUGCUGCAUUUUACCCUUGCACAUUUGCAGAAAACUAAAGAGAAGAGGAUAAUGCACAGAAAUCGAACUUAAACUGUAUUAUUUUAAUUUUAUAUACUUUACCUUUUCAAAAGGCUGCUGUUUUAUUGCACUCUGUCUGUUGCCCAGAUAAGGGGGGAAAGAGAACAGGAUUGUAUCUUAUUAUUGAGGAUUGAAAAGGACUGCAUUUUAUUUCCAUGGGGAGGUCUGAAAUUACAGGAGGCCUAUUAUGCACGUUGCACAUUUUGUUGUUGUUUUUUCGAAUCCUAAAAUAAAAAUGACAUCAAAAAUCUGA